rnacentral:rRNA from 1 species
UGUGACAUACCUAAAACGUUGCUUCGGCGGGAACAGACGGCCCUGUAACAACGGGCCGCCCCCGCCAGAGGACCCCUAACUCUGUUUUUAUAAUGUUUUUCUGAGUAAACAAGCAAAUAAAUUAAAACUUUCAACAACGGAUCUCUUGGCUCUGGCAUCGAUGAAGAACGCAGCGAAAUGCGAUAAGUAAUGUGAAUUGCAGAAUUCAGUGAAUCAUCGAAUCUUUGAACGCACAUUGCGCCCGCCAGUAUUCUGGCGGGCAUGCCUGUUCGAGCGUCAUUACAACCCUCAGGCCCCCGGGCCUGGCGUUGGGGAUCGGCGGAAGCCCCCUGUGGGCACACGCCGUCCCUCAAAUACAGUGGCGGUCCCGCCGCAGCUUCCAUUGCGUAGUAGCUAACACCUCGCAACUGGAGAGCGGCGCGGCCAUGCCGUAAAACACCCAACUUCUGAAUGUUGACCUCGAAUCAGGUAGGAAUACCCGCUGAACUUAAGCAUAUCAAU